AACGCUGGCGGCGUGCUUAACACACUGCAAGUCGAACGCGAAAGGGACUUCGGUCCUGAGUAAAGUGGCGCACGGGUGAGUAACGCGUAGAUAACCUGUCUUCAUGUCUGGAAUAAUACGCCAAAGGGGUACUAAUACCGGAUAUUCUUGCUUUUCAUAAGUUAUGCAAGCAAAGGUGGCCUCUGCAUAUGCUACUGCAUGAAGAGGGGUCUGCGUACCAUUAGCUAGUAGGUGGGGUAAUGGCCUACCUAGGCGACGAUGGUUAGCGGGUCUGAGAGGAUGAUCCGCCACACUGGCACUGGAACACGGGCCAGACUCCUACGGGAGGCAGCAGUGAGGAAUAUUGCGCAAUGGGGGAAACCCUGACGCAGCGACGCCGCGUGAGUGAGGAAGGCCUUCGGGUCGUAAAGCUCUGUCAAGAGGAAAGAAGUGUACAAUGGCUAAUACCUGUUGUAUUUGACGGUACCUCUAAAGGAAGCACCGGCUAACUCCGUGCCAGCCGCCGC
rnacentral:rRNA from 1 species